CUGACCCCGUGGCAUUGCGCAGAGCACCUCUUCGUGCAGGAUCCCCUCGGGUGAGACCGGGUGAACCCGCUGCUGUUGGCCCCGUUUGGCGCGGCCGGGUGCUGAGCCCGUGCCAGAGCGCUCUCGUGCUGCCCCGGGUCCUCAGCUGAAGUCCCUGGGUUCCCAAAUUCGUGCCCAUCCAGAGGCAGGUCGGGGAAUGGCUCCUGUGCGGUGUCCCUGCGUGACCGUCGCCGUGCCCGUUGCACUCCUUCAUCUACAAACCGCGCUGCAUGGAGAGGGAGCGUGGCCGAGCAGCACCCCCUCUCCCGAGGGCCUGACCCGGAGCGUUUCCUUAGCCCUAGUGUCCCCUGGCUAGCACAGCAGAAGGCAUGUUGCAGUUCCCCGUUCCCAGAAGAUUUAGCCCAAACACAAAGAAGCAGGAAGAAAGAAAGACGGAAAAAAAAAAAAAGAAAAGAAAAAAGAAAGAGGAAUGAAGGCACUAUUAAAAUGCCUUUUAUUAAGAUUGCCCUGACAUUGCUGCUUAAUUUAUGCCCCCUGCUAGCACAGCGGAGAGGAGACAGCCCAGACCUCACCUUUUGGAAGCUGCAGAGCAAAAUGCAAAAUUAUUCAGUGGAACCAGAUUGACUUUUUGGGCAUAGAUGAGAUGUCUGGAUCCUCUCUGAAAAAUUACCCUUUCUGCUGUCACCAAACAUUGAGUGUAACAGAAGAACCCAGCCUUUGGGUAGCUGUGGUGCCGAGGUAACACCAGAAGAAGAGCAGAGCACUGUAGGCCUCCAAAAGUCACCAACUUCCACCCUUCGGGGAGCACUUGCUGUGCGUCCCCAAGGGCUCAGCUGACAAGGAACCUCCCAAAUAAAUCUUGAAAGCAGCGGCAGGAGACUGGAGAAGGUGAAGCCGUGGCGAUGGCAGCAAGUGGCUUGUUCCUCUCCUUGUUCUUUGAAGAAAAUUCCCGUGCCUCCCAUCAGAGGUGUCUGCUUUUCCUUCCCAGCCAGUUGUCUCCCUUCUGGUGUAAAACUGGACUGGGCAAUUUUCCUUUUAGCCACCCCUCCGGACUGUGAUAUGCUUUGGGUAGAUCUGGUUUGGACAGGAAAGCCGUUGUGGGCAGCGAGGAGGACACAAGGCUGGUUGCAGCGUCCACCCAUGCAGGGCCAUGACGGUGCUGGACCAGGGGUGGUGUUUUAUUCCCUGCACCCUGGGCACCGGGGGGCCAGCACAAGAAAUAAACUCUGACUCCCAGAGAA